rnacentral:rRNA from 1 species
AGUGAACGCUGGCGGUAGGCCUAACACAUGCAAGUCGAACGGCAGCACAGGAGAGCUUGCUCUCUGGGUGGCGAGUGGCGGACGGGUGAGGAAUACAUCGGAAUCUACUCUGUCGUGGGGGAUAACGUAGGGAAACUUACGCUAAUACCGCAUACGACCUACGGGUGAAAGCAGGGGACCUUCGGGCCUUGCGCGAUUGAAUGAGCCGAUGUCGGAUUAGCUAGUUGGCGGGGUAAAGGCCCACCAAGGCGACGAUCCGUAGCUGGUCUGAGAGGAUGAUCAGCCGCACUGGAACUGAUACACGGUCCAGACUCCUACGGAAGGCAGCAGUGGGGAAUAUUGGACAAUGGGCGCAAGCCUGAUCCAGCCAUACCGCGUGGGUGAAGAAGGCCUUCGGGUUGUAAAGCCCUUUUGUUGGGAAAGAAAUCCAGCUGGCUAAUACCCGGUUGGGAUGACGGUACCCAAAGAAUAAGCACCGGCUAACUUCGUGCCAGCCGCCGCCGUAA